ACCCGUACUAAGGCUAGGGUGGUUGAGUGUAAACACAUGGCUCUGAGUGUAAGCACCUUUUCACAAGAAACGUUCUUGUGUUCAAAUGACCGUCAGUGCGAAAUAACUAGAAAGCUUUCGUAUUUCAACUUGGCUGCACCACUGCGUCGACCUGUGGCUUGCGGAAAAACACCGGAAAGUUUCUAGCCUACCGGAAUGUUACAAGAACAAGAAUGGUUACAUGACAUUCGGCCAUGUGACAUUUGUUGUUUAUAGAUUUUUCGCCCACAUAUCGACUCUGGACAGAUAAAAGAAGGUGAGAGGGACCCUAGGAGGGACGUAAAGGAGUUGAUGAAAUCCUGUUAAGACAGACAAUCAGAUGGUAUGGCCUCUGAAGACCCCCAAGACCAACUGGUUGAGGCUAUUAAAAAGGCAGAACGCCUUGCCGAGGAGCUCAACCAAGAAAAGGACCCACAAGCCCAACUGGAUGAGGCCAUUAACGAGGCAAAAAGACUGGCUGAGGAGCUCAACCCAGAACGGGAAAAUAAGAAGAAAAAGACAAACAAGCCUCCAGGGAUUAGGUUCAGAUGGAGACAAAGGGAUGAGAGAGGACAGAUUGUUCCUCAAACCAGGAAGGCAACUACAUCCACUUCUGUUGCUCCAAGGGCCAGUACAUCAAGAGCCAGACUAGUGCAACCUUCUGGACCAGUCACUGAGGAGGAAGAAUCAGCAAUACUUUAUAGAGAAAUGAACAUCCUCCUAGCUGACUUAGAAGACCCUGAGUGUUCAAAUCCUGCUGUGCCUGGUGCAUCACACAGUUGGAGUGUGAGGAAGGAACUCACAGGAGGGAGUCCAGGCCUGAGAUUGUAGAUUCUCUGCUGGCUGCAGAGCAUGUUUCUCAGAAGAUCUGUCAGUCAUGCAAUGUGAAAAGGGCCAUUCUGCGAUGUAGAGACUCUGCCGAAACAGCUUUAUUGCGAAGGCUGUGAUGUCUCUACACAUGCAAAGUUCCCCCUGCACAACAGAGAGUCCAUGAUCGAGGGGUUCUACACGCCCCUUCCUCCAACUACAGCCAUAUCUCUCCACAGUGAUGGCAAAUAUACACUUCAUGAACAGGGUCGCUACAAUGUCAUAGUGCCUGUGCUUACCUGCACAACUUGUCUUAGCACCUGGACAGCAAACUUGGCAGAUCUGAUAAAGAAUGGGUACUGGCCUGCCACUGUCAACUGUGACACCAUAUACCAGGUAGAUGUGUUCAGCUCUUUUGAGGAGCUGGAAGUGUCAGCCCCAGGAAUGUCCCGUCUGGCAUUUAUGCGGAUUUUGGAGCAGCGAACUGACUUCUUUGGCAGGAACGGAAUGAUCUGUGGGGACACUUUUCAAAAAAGCUUCGAGUGGACGUACUGCCGCUCUGAAAUUGAUUAGGUCUGUGAUAUACAGGACUUUGACUGCCCAGCCUAUUCACCCAGCAUGCUUGCAGUGUCAGUGGACGGGAACAAGAAGCUGUAUCGAUUCAAAAAACGGUUAUGGAAAAGGAGUAUGUGGAGAAUCCCAGUGGACAGCAGCUAAAGAGUCAUCAAGGAAUACAAACGACAAACUUGAUGAAGAGGGACUCGAAGUAGCCGUCUCUCGCCAUGGAAUACUUCUAAGGGGCCUCAACAUGAUGCGUGGAGAGAUAUUUGCGUCCCCACGGUUCUUGCAGAAGGAACUGUCUGGCAGCAGGAACAUACAAUUCAUGUGAUCUGCAAAUUUUGGCCAUACCUGACCAAAGUUGCCCUUCAUUGUCCAGAGCUCGCCACUCUUCUAAACAUGAAGCCACUUCUUUCUGUCAUGCAUGCAAAGGCACAUCGUUUGAAAUGCGAGGUAAGUUUCUUUAUUAAACUGUUCAAAGAGAAUUUCCAGCUUCAGUCCUUUACAAGGCUUCCUAUUUAAAUGUUUGUUAUUCACAUAAUUGCAAUAUCAAGUCUAUAUUAAAAAAAAAUGUAAAUUAAGAUUAAGUGGGGAGGACGGAAUCAGGAAGGAGCUGGCACAACUCUGGGGGAGGAAGUGGAACAGCUUCUUGUUGAGGGCUGCAAUCUGUUCCAAGCAAAUGUCCAAAGGAGGUAAACAUUUUGUUUAAGGUUCUAUUCAGCUAUGUUAAUACUUAUCUGGAGUAAGGAGUUCUAUUUGGCAUUUCUAGCAAGAACAGACAUGCUAACCAUCCAGGCUAUGGGGUGGAACAGAAGGAAGAAAAAACCUGAGUAUUGUCCAGAAGAUACUUGAAGGUGUAUUGUGUGGAUCAAUGCAUUUAUUUUAGAGCUAUUAUAUCUAAUGUAAUGUAAAUCUAUGGAUUUAAUUGAUUUAAAAACAAUUAGUUAUUCUGUUUAGUUUGUCAUAAUUCUCAGACAACAGCAAAAAUAUAGGAGACCCAGCCUCUCAAAGUUUAAGAGUGAUUUGGGUGUUAGGCGAUGAGACUCUGUACAACAGAAGUUCAGCAAUGGGAUAAUACAGGUAAAUGAAUACAAAAUAUAAAUAAUCCUAAAUGUAACUCUCCUGGACUGUCACCUUGACGUAGUGGAGAGGCUUGUGUACUCCAAUGACUCUGAGAGCUAACCCUCAAGAGGGUGUAUUCCACCGACAUGUGCAAUCAAGCGGGACGGGUAGGAGGCAGACUAAACAUUCCCUGGUUAUCCAGGUUGGGGCUCAUUCACCGCCCACAUAACAAGUCAUUUGUUACAGAAACCUUCACAGGCCCUAUAUUCCUCCAGGAAGUGAGUGCAACUUCUCAGCAUUGGAGAUACGUUGUUAAUUUAUAGAUGUACUGUAUUUCAGAGGAAACAAAUGAGAACAUGGGACGGUCCCCAGGUACUACAGAGAACAAUUGAAGUCCUGUUUCUUAGCAUCAAACAAAGGAAACAGAACCUCUACCGUCAGACAGCUGACCUACACAAAGAAAGUAGCCUAUGACCGGGUGAUGCUCCUGAGACGGCUGAAGGAGGAAGAGUUAAUUGACCUAAAGGAAGUCUAGCAGCACUGGGAAAGCCUAAAGAGGCAAUCUGAGAAUGUGAAGGACCUUGCUUCACAUGUGGCACUUGACCUAAGCAGGCAAAGCUGGCAAUUGAAUCAGUCGGAAGCUGGGAGCAGAGGUCUCUUCUCCAUGCUUCAGAGGAGAGUCAGCAGCCUCAGAAGACACCAGGACUCUGUCAAACUGAUAUACAGCAAAGCUAUGGGCCAAGACACCUCCCACCUAGAAAAUAACUUCAUAGAUGACCUCCUGGAAGAGGACCUAGAUGACAUCUAUGACAGCAUCCACUACAGCUCUGAUGAUGAGGAAUCUAUCACAGACUGAAGGUGUUCUGCCUUCCUAAGGAAAAAUAGUUUGAACAUUUUAUGGGGAAAAAUUAUCAUCCACUUUUGGAUUCUUUAAGAAUAUAAUUGAUAAAUGCCUCAUGAAUAUAGUUCACCUGCCGUACCCCAUCAGAUCCCAAAAUAGAUAUUUUUUUCUACUCGAAUGUUUGUAAACAAAGUAAAUGUAAACAUACGAGCGUGUGUCAAAACUCAUUCCACAGGUGAGCCGAGUGUCUGCGCUCCUCCCAUAAUUGAUGAAUUAAGGUCACUAAUUAGUAAGGAACUCCCCUCACCUGGUUGGGUAGGUCUUAAUUGAAAGGAAAAAACAAAAACCAGCAGACACUAGACUCUCCAUGGAAUUGAGAUUGACACCACUGGACUAUAGCCGCAAAACAUAGUUUAAAUUAUGGUUACAUUUCUCCAUCCCCAUCCCUCUGCUUUUUACAGAACCACUGGUGGGGAGAACGAUUUAUUGUUUCACCUGGUGAUUUCAGAUUUAAACAUUGUUAAACUGUAAUGUACUGUGCUUGUUAGUUUAUAUUAGUAUUGUAUUAGUUUUAAAAAAAUUAAAAAAGGUUAUCCUUGUCUUCAA